UACGUAGGGUGCGAGCGUUGUCCGGAAUUACUGGGCGUAAAGAGCUCGUAGGUGGUUUGUCGCGUUGUUCGUGAAAACUCACAACUCAAUUGUGGGCGUGCGGGCGAUACGGGCAGACUGGAGUACUGCAGGGGAGACUGGAAUUCCUGGUGUAGCGGUGAAAUGCGCAGAUAUCAGGAGGAACACCGGUGGCGAAGGCGGGUCUCUGGAACGGUACUGACGCUGAGACGCGAAAGCGUGGGGAGCGAACAGG
rnacentral:rRNA from 1 species